CGGCUUAACUGUAAUGGUUCUGACCAUAAUCAGACAUUGAAAGAUUGGUCAGAGAGCGUAAGACACAAUACCGAUCGUGACCAAAUAACCUUUUUCAAUUGUGCAUCGCGGAUAGAGUAGUGGAAUGGUCACGAGAACAAACAAGGCAGGGCACCGCAGUCCAGCCGGCCGGCCUGCGCGGACGGCUAGUUGCAUCCUACUCUAGUUGUUUUUUGGAAAGGACAAGAGCCUCACGGCUUUUU
ensembl:ncRNA C41A3.8 ncRNA